UACGAAGGGGGCUAGCGUUGUUCGGAAUUACUGGGCGUAAAGCGCGCGCAGGCGGUCCUUUAAGUCGGGGGUGAAAGCCCAGAGCUCAACUCUGGAACUGCCUUCGAAACUAGAGGACUUGGGUACGGGAGAGGUGAGUGGAAUUCCGAGUGUAGAGGUGAAAUUCGUAGAUAUUCGGAAGAACACCAGUGGCGAAGGCGGCUCACUGGCCCGUUACCGACGCUCAGGCGCGA
rnacentral:rRNA from 1 species